rnacentral:rRNA from 1 species
AUUGAACGCUGGCGGCAGGCCUAACACAUGCAAGUCGAGCGGAGCGGCGGACGGGUGAGUAACGCCUAGGAAUCUGCCUGGUAGUGGGGGAUAACGUCCGGAAACGGGCGCUAAUACCGCAUACUAUCAGAUUAGCCUAGGUCGGGUUAGCUAGUUGGUGGGGUAAAGGCCUACCAGGGCGACGAUCCGUAACUGGUCUGAGAGGAUGAUCAGUCACACUGGAACUGAAACACGGUCCAGAUUCCUAAGGGAGGCAGCAGUGGGGAAUAUUGGACAAUGGGCGAAAGUCUGGUACAGCCAUGCCGCGUGUGUGAAGAAGGUCUUGGGAUUGUAAAGCACUUUAAGGUGGGAGGCGUUACUAACAGAAUAAGCACCGGCUAACUUCGUGCCAGCAGCCGCGGUAAUUC